rfam:Triticum aestivum genome assembly, contig: Triticum_aestivum_CS42_TGACv1_scaffold_394102_5AS
CAAAUACUCCCUCCUUUCAAAAAUACUUGUCAUCAAGAUGGAUAAAAGGAAAUGUAUCUAGACGUAUUUUAGUUUUAGAUACAUCUCUUUUUAUCCAUUUUGAUGAUAAGUAUUUUCGGACGGAGGGAGUAGAAA